rnacentral:piRNA from 1 species
UAAACGGGAUAGAAGGUGGGU